UCCCUAUGGGGUGCAGCAGGCGCGAAAACUUUACAAUGCUGGCAACAGCGAUAAGGGGACCUCGAGUGCCAGGUUACAAAUCUGGCUGUCGUGAUGCCUAAAAAGCAUUGCAUAGCAAGGGCCGGGCAAGACCGGUGCCAGCCGCCGCGGUAACACCGGCGGCUCGAGUGGUAACCGUUAUUAUUGGGUCUAAAGGGCCUGUAGCCGGCCGGAUAAGUCUCUUGGGAAAUCUGGCAGCUUAACUGUCAGGCUUUCAGGAGAUACUGUCUGGCUCGAGGCCGGGAGAGGUGAGAGGUACUUCAGGGGUAGGGGUGAAAUCUUGUAAUCCUUGAAGGACCACCAGUGGCGAAGGCGUCUCACCAGAACGGACCUGACGGCAAGGGACGAAAGCUAGGGGCACGAACCGGAUUAGAUACCCGGGUAGUCCUAGCCGUAAACGAUACUCGCUAGGUGUCGGCCACGGUGCGACCGUUGUCGGUGCCGUAGGGAAGCCGUGAAGCGAGCCACCUGGGAAGUACGGCCGCAAGGCUGAAACUUAAAGGAAUUGGCGGGGGAGCACCACAACGGGUGGAGCUUGCGGUUUAAUUGGAUUCAACGCCGGAAAUCUUACCGGGACCGACAGCAAUAUGAAGGCCAGGCUGAAGACUUUGCCGGAUUAGCUGAGAGGUAGUGCAUGGCCA
rnacentral:rRNA from 1 species